rnacentral:misc_RNA from 1 species
CCCAAAAAGGAGCAGUGAAGUAUUCACAUGGCGCCUUUCAUGCAGGAGCUGCUCUGUUUUUGAAACAGGUUUGACAGUUUGUUCCUUCUCUGGAAAUGGGAAUGAAAGAGAAAGGGAAAGGGAAGCGGAUAUACCAUCCUCCUCUUCCUUCACAUUAUCUGGAGUCUUGUUCUGGGUAUUAUUUUUCCCUACCAUUCCAACAAAGAAAGGAAGGAUCCCUUUAUUUUGGGGUUUUGUCUCAGCCCCUAAAGCUAGCUCAAGAUUUGGAACCCCAUCACGGAAUUGGUCCUCAUCAUUUGAUGAGUAUUCUUUCC